AUUGAACGCUGGCGGCAGGCCUAACACAUGCAAGUCGAACGGUAACAGGGAGCAGGCUCCUGGAUUCAGGAGCAGACGCGGGAGGAAGGCCUAUGAAUCGGACACGUAGUGAGGGAGAACGUCCGCAACCGGAAACGAAUACCGCAUACGCAUAGCGUCGCAAAGCGAGAGAGCUUGGGAUCACACGCUAUCACCAGAGCCUAGGUCGGAUUAGCUAGUGGGUGGGGUAACGGCAUACCUAGGCGACGAUCCGUAACUGGUCUGAGAGGAUGAGCAGUCACACUGGAACUGAGACACGGUCCAGACUCCUACGGGAGGCAGCAGUGGGGAAUAUUGGACAAUGGGCGCAAGCCUGAUCCAGCCAUGCCGCGUGUGUGAAGAAGGUCUUCGGAUUGUAAAGCACUUUAAGUUGGGAGGAAGGGCAGUAAGUUAAUACCUUGCUUUAUUGACGUUACCCACAGAAGAAGCACCGGCUAACUUCGUG
rnacentral:rRNA from 1 species